GUUUGCCACAUGGCUGUAUGGAUUGAUUUUUUUUAUAUCCAAUGGGGUGUUGUAGGAAGGGGUGUCAGGAUUGGAGUCCCCUGGCUUGGAUACCAUCAGAUUCAAAAGAUGCCCAUCAAGAUCGAAAGAUUUUGGAAGAUGACACAUCUUGCCAAACCUUCAAAGGCUAAUAUUUUGCUCAGAAUAAAGUAAUUUGAAUGAAAUUUUCAA